UAGCUGACCUCUGUCCAAUUGACCCUGUUUGUCACUGUGGUGAUUGUUGCAGGGGUCAUGCC
ensembl:miRNA